GACGAACGCUGGCGGCGUGCUUAACACAUGCAAGUCGAACGGAAAGGCCCUGCUUUUGUGGGGUGCUCGAGUGGCGAACGGGUGAGUAACACGUGAGUAACCUGCCCUUGACUUUGGGAUAACUUCAGGAAACUGGGGCUAAUACCGGAUAGGAGCUCCUGCUGCAUGGUGGGGGUUGGAAAGUUUCGGCGGUUGGGGAUGGACUCGCGGCUUAUCAGCUUGUUGGUUGGGUAGUGGCUUACCAAGGCUUUGACGGGUAGCCGGCCUGAGAGGGUGACCGGCCACAUUGGGACUGAGAUACGGCCCAGACUCCUACGGGAGGCAGCAGUGGGGAAUAUUGCACAAUGGGCGGGAGCCUGAUGCAGCAACGCCGCGUGCGGGAUGACGGCCUUCGGGUUGUAAACCGCUUUCGCCUGUGACGAAGCGUGAGUGACGGUAAUGGGUAAAGAAGCACCGGCUAACUACGUG
rnacentral:rRNA from 1 species